GAAAAGCAUUCAGAGUAGAAUGAAUCGUUAAGGAGACUAAUUAUAUCCAAACAAGUGGGGGUAGCAACCUGGGUAGGAGUUUCUGACUUCCUUGUGUAGGCUGAAGAAUUAGAUGGCGUGUAACUGGAAUCUAGGGGUCAUGGGCUGUAAAACUGGCCCACUCUGAGGGUAAUGACACAGCACCCAUAAAACAGGGCUCAGUGGUGAAGCUGGGACCACAGAAGAGCUGCCCAAUAGCCUUGGGACCGAAUCUCUACUGGGUGUGUUCUCUGGGCCCCUGAGAACGUGUUUCCAAAAAAUCACUUGAGAAGGGGCUCCUCAGCCAUUUGGGAGGACAUAAAUAUUUUCCAGUGGGCUCAGCGGAGCGGAGAAAAAGGUGGAGGUUAGCG
rnacentral:lncRNA from 1 species